rnacentral:rRNA from 1 species
CGGCAGGCCUAACACAUGCAAGUCGAGCGGUAGCACAGAGAGCUUGCUCUCGGGUGACGAGCGGCGGACGGGUGAGUAAUGUCUGGGAAACUGCCUGAUGGAGGGGGAUAACUACUGGAAACGGUAGCUAAUACCGCAUAACGUCGCAAGACCAAAGUGGGGGACCUUCGGGCCUCAUGCCAUCAGAUGUGCCCAGAUGGGAUUAGCUAGUAGGUGGGGUAACGGCUCACCUAGGCGACGAUCCCUAGCUGGUCUGAGAGGAUGACCAGCCACACUGGAACUGAGACACGGUCCAGACUCCUACGGGAGGCAGCAGUGGGGAAUAUUGCACAAUGGGCGCAAGCCUGAUGCAGCCAUGCCGCGUGUGUGAAGAAGGCCUUCGGGUUGUAAAGCACUUUCAGCGGGGAGGACGGCGGUGAGGUUAAUAACCUCAUCGAUUGACGUUACCCGCAGAAGAAGCACCGGCUAACUCCGUGCCAGCAGCCGCGGUAAUACGGAGGGUGCAAGCGUUAAUCGGAAUUACUGGGCGUAAAGCGCACGCAGGCGGUCUGUCAAGUCGGAUGUGAAAUCCCCGGGCUCAACCUGGGAACUGCAUUCGAAACUGGCAGGCUAGAGUCUUGUAGAGGGGGGUAGAAUUCCAGGUGUAGCGGUGAAAUGCGUAGAGAUCUGGAGGAAUACCGGUGGCGAAGGCGGCCCCCUGGACAAAGACUGACGCUCAGGUGCGAAAGCGUGGGGAGCAAACAGGAUUAGAUACCCUGGUAGUCCACGCCGUAAACGAUGUCGAUUUGGAGGUUGUGCCCUUGAGGCGUGGCUUCCGGAGCUAACGCGUUAAAUCGACCGCCUGGGGAGUACGGCCGCAAGGUUAAAACUCAAAUGAAUUGACGGGGGCCCGCACAAGCGGUGGAGCAUGUGGUUUAAUUCGAUGCAACGCGAAGAACCUUACCUGGUCUUGACAUCCACAGAACUUAGCAGAGAUGCUUUGGUGCCUUCGGGAACUGUGAGACAGGUGCUGCAUGGCUGUCGUCAGCUCGUGUUGUGAAAUGUUGGGUUAAGUCCCGCAACGAGCGCAACCCUUAUCCUUUGUUGCCAGCGGUUAGGCCGGGAACUCAAAGGAGACUGCCAGUGAUAAACUGGAGGAAGGUGGGGAUGACGUCAAGUCAUCAUGGCCCUUACGACCAGGGCUACACACGUGCUACAAUGGCAUAUACAAAGAGAAGCGACCUCGCGAGAGCAAGCGGACCUCAUAAAGUAUGUCGUAGUCCGGAUUGGAGUCUGCAACUCGACUCCAUGAAGUCGGAAUCGCUAGUAAUCGUAGAUCAGAAUGCUACGGUGAAUACGUUCCCGGGCCUUGUACACACCGCCCGUCACACCAUGGGAGUGGGUUGCAAAAGAAGUAGGUAGCUUAACCUUCGGGAGGGCGCUUACCACUUUGUGACU